AAAAAAAAGAUUUUAAUAUUCUGGACCCUCAGCCUCCAACAUUGGAGUGGGCCUAAUGCGAAGAUUGAGGCACUCAACAAAGGGGCCUCCAGUCCGUGCCAUCCCAGAACACUCACUGGGUCACUCCAGGCUUUGACCGCAGUGGCUGCCUCUUGUGUCUGAAGGCACCAGAAUGAAGGCUGCGUGUUGACCAGCCCCGAAGAUCUGAGCCUCUGUCCCCAGACAGGUGAUUCUGGGAUGGGCUAGGAUUGCAGGGACUUAACAAGGUGGAGUUCUCCAGAGGUUCCCUUAGCUCUGUCUCAGAGGAGAACAUGUGAAAGAGGGAGAAUGCCCUCCUGAUAAGAACCUAUGCAAAGAGCUGUGCCAGGGUGAUGCAUCAUGUCUGGCU